rnacentral:rRNA from 1 species
UACGUAGGUGACAAGCGUUGUCCGGAUUUACUGGGCGUAAAGAGCGCGCAGGCGGUCGUUCAAGUCGAGUGUGAAAGCCCCCGGCUCAACUGGGGAGGGUCAUUCGAUACUGAUCGACUCGAAGGCAGGAGAGGGAAGUGGAAUUCCCGGUGUAGUGGUGAAAUGCGUAGAUAUCGGGAGGAACACCAGUGGCGAAGGCGACUUCCUGGCCUGUUCUUGACGCUGAGGCGCGAAAGCUAGGGAGCAAACGGG